rnacentral:rRNA from 1 species
UACGUAGGUGGCAAGCGUUGUCCGGAUUUAUUGGGUUUAAAGGGUGCGUAGGCGGUUCCUUAAGUCAGUUGUGAAAUCCGGCAGCUUAACUGUCGAGGUGCAAUUGAUACUGGGGAACUAGAGUACUGAUGAGGUAUGCGGAAUGGACGGUGUAGCGGUGAAAUGCUUAGAUAUCGUCCAGAACACCGAUAGCGAAGGCAGCAUACUAAGGAGUAACUGACGCUGAGGCACGAAAGUGUGGGGAUCAAACAGG